rnacentral:lncRNA from 1 species
AUCGAUGUCAGCUAUCACAAGAACCAAAUCCGGAAUAAUAAUAGACUACUCAGUUGCGCCCUAACAGUAUAACUCUGCAACGAGUACUUUCUCUCAUUCAAUCCAAAAAAGUGUGAAAGCUAAUUAUCUUCUUCUAUUAUGCCCCAAGAGCGUAAAUAUCGAACGAAUCAUUGUCAACGUUCACUAGAACCAAAACCGGAACAACAUUAGACUACUCAGUUGCGCCCUAACAGUAUAACUUUGCAACGAGUGCUUUUUCGCAUUCUAUCGAACAAAGAGUAAAACCUAAUUAUAUUGUUCUAUUAUGCCCCGAGAGUGUAAAUUUGGAACGAAUCGAGUCAACCUUCAGAAGAAGCAAACCGAAACAAUAAUAGACUGCUCAGUUGUGCCCUCACAGUAUACCUUUGGAACGAGUACUUUUUCUCAUUCAAUCGAACAAAGUGUAAAAGCUAAUUAUAUUAUUCUAUCAUUCCCCGAGAGUGUAAAUUUGGAACGAAUCGAUGUCAACCUUCACAAGAACCAAAAUCGAAACAACAAUAAACUACUUAGUUGCGCCCUAACAGUAUAACUUUGCAACGAGUACUUUUCUACAUUCUAUCGAACAAAGAGUAAAAACCAAAUAAUAUUAUUCUAUUAGUCCCCGAGAGUGUAAAUUUGGAACGAAUCGAUGUCAACCUUCGCAAGAACGAAAACCGAAACAACAAUAGACUACUCAGUUGCGCCCUAACAGUAUAACUUUGCAACGAGUACUUUUUCGCAUUCUAUCGAACAAAUAGUAAAACCUAAUUAUAUUGUUCUAUUA